GACAGACACACACACUAACAGACAUUUAGAUACACACAGACACAUGGACAGAGACAUAUACAUACACACACUGACAGACAUGGAUGCACACACACACACUGACAGACAUAGAUACACACACACACACACUGACAGACAUACACACACACACACUGACAGAGAUAGAUACACACACACACUGACAGACAUACACACACACACACUGACAGACAUAGAUACACACACACACUGACAGACAUAUACAC